AUGGCUUUGCGGAGCACUCUGGAAGUAGUGCGGCUGGGGCUCCUCCUCAGCUCUCUCUGGAAGGUUGCAGAGAGCAAGGACCAAGUAUUUCAGCCUUCCACCGUGGUAUCUUCGGAGGGAGCCAUGGCAGAAAUCUACUGUAAUCACUCUAUAUCCAAUGCUUACAACUUCUUCUGGUACCUUCACUUCCCAGGAUGUGCACCAAGGCUUCUUAUUCAGGGCUCCAAGCCUUCCCAUCAGGGACGCUACAACAUGACUUACGAGCGGCUCUCCUCAUCACUGCUCAUCCCCCAGGUGCGGUUGGCAGAUGCUGCUGUUUACUACUGUGGUCUGGCAAACACAGGGCCAGGGAACCCGUAA